GAGCACGUAGGUGGGUUUGUAAGUCAGAUGUGAAAGCCUUCUGUUCAACGGGAGAAUUGCAUCUGAAACUACAGACCUUGAGUAUAGGAGGGGAGAAUGGAACUUCUGGUGGAGCGGUGAAAUGCGUAGAUAUCAGAAGGAACGCCGGCGGCGAAAGCGAUUCUCUGGCCUAUUACUGACACUCAGUGUGCGAAAGCUAGGGGAGCAAACGGGAUUAGAUACCCCGGUAGUCCUAGCCGUAAACGAUGGGCACUAAGUAGAGGGAAUUACCGAUGUUCUCUCUGCCGUAGCUAACGCAUUAAGUGCCCCGCCUGGGGAGUACGGCCGCAAGGCUAAAACUCUAAAGAAUUGACGGGGGCUCGCACAAGCGGUGGAGCAUGUGGCUUAAUUCGAUGCAACGCGAAAAACCUUACCGGGGCUUGACAUGGUAGAAGUAGGAACCCGAAAGGGUAACGAACGGUAUCCAGUCCGUAGCUAUCACAGGUGUUGCAUGGCUGUCGUCAGCUCGUGUCGUGAGACGUUGGGUUAAGUCCCCUAACGAGCGAAACCCUUGUUUUUAGUUACCAGCGGGUUGUGCCGGGUACUCUAGAAAGACUGCCGUCGUCAAGACGGAGGAAGGUGGGGAUGACGUCAAGUCAUCAUGGCCCUUAUGCCCCGGGCUGCACACGUGCUACAAUGGUCGGUACAAAGGAAGCUAAGCCGAGAGGUGAAGCGAAUCC
rnacentral:rRNA from 1 species